rnacentral:rRNA from 1 species
CAACCUGCCUACAACUAGGGAAUAACCUUGCGAAAGUAAGACUAAUACCCUAUGAUUUCCUUUGAUGACAUCAGAUUAGGAAUAAAGAUUUAUCGGUUAUAGAUGGGGAUGCGUCUGAUUAGCUUGUUGGCGGGGUAACGGCCCACCAAGGCAACGAUCAGUAGGGGUUCUGAGAGGAAGGUCCCCCACAUUGGAACUGAGACACGGUCCAAACUCCUACGGGAGGCAGCAGUGAGGAAUAUUGGUCAAUGGGCGGAAGCCUGAACCAGCCAAGUAGCGUGCAGGAUGACGGCCCUAUGGGUUGUAAACUGCUUUUAUACAGGAAUAAAGUUAGCCACGUGUGGUUAUUUGUAGGUACUGUAUGAAUAAGGACCGGCUAAUUCCGUGCCAGCAGCCGCGGUAAUACGGAAGGUCCAGGCGUUAUCCGGAUUUAUUGGGUUUAAAGGGAGCGUAGGCCGUCUGUUAAGCGUGUUGUGAAAUGUAGAUGCUCAACAUCUGAAUUGCGGCGCGAACUGGCAGACUUGAGUGUGCGCAACGUAGGCGGAAUUCGUGGUGUAGCGGUGAAAUGCUUAGAUAUCACGAAGAACUCCGAUUG